AGGGAGGAGGCCGGCCAAGAUGUUUUGGAGCAUAAUUGUGUUAUUAGGGUGGCUCAUAAAAUAAGAGAGCUUCCAGAGGCGCUGUGAUCGGGAUGCGGGCCACAUUCGAGGAAGGAGGUUGAAUGCAUUUUGAAAAACUGUUUGAAAAUUGGAUUGACACCUGAAACUAAUACAACGUGGGCUUCCCUGGUGGCACAGUGGUUAAGAAUCCACCUGCCAAUGCAGGGGACGUGGGUUUGAGCCCUGAUCUGGGAAGAUCCCACAUGCCACGGAGCAAAUAACCCCAUGCGCCACAACUACUAAACCUGUGCUCUAGAGCCCAUGAGCCACAACUACCGAGCCCACAUGCCACAACUACUGAAGCCUGCGCCUAUAGCCCGUGCUCUGCAACUGCAACAAGAGAAGACAUCGCAGUGAAGAGCGGCCCCCGCUCACCGCAGCUAGAGAAAGCCCGCGCGGCAACAAAGACCCAACGCGGCCAAAAAUAAAUUAAAUAAUUUUUAAAAAUCAAUAUAGUGAAUUACAUAGCCCAGACCCCAGGAGGCUAAAGCAUCUACAUAUGCUU